ACAGACACCAUGGCCGAGCCUCUGAAGGAGGAAGACGGCGAGGACGGCUCUGCGGAGCCCCCCGGGCCCGUGAAGGCCGAACCCGCCCACACCGCUGCCUCUGUAGCGGCCAAGAACCUGGCCCUGCUUAAAGCCCGCUCCUUCGAUGUGACCUUUGACGUGGGCGACGAGUACGAGAUCAUCGAGACCAUAGGCAACGGGGCCUAUGGAGUGGUGUCCUCCGCCCGCCGCCGCCUCACCGGCCAGCAGGUGGCCAUCAAGAAGAUCCCUAAUGCCUUCGAUGUGGUGACCAAUGCCAAGCGGACCCUCAGGGAGCUGAAGAUCCUCAAGCACUUUAAGCACGACAACAUCAUCGCCAUCAAGGACAUCCUGAGGCCCACUGUGCCCUAUGGCGAAUUCAAAUCUGUCUACGUGGUCCUGGACCUGAUGGAAAGCGACCUCCACCAGAUCAUCCACUCCUCACAGCCCCUCACACUGGAACACGUGCGCUACUUCUUGUACCAACUGCUGCGGGGCCUGAAGUACAUGCACUCGGCUCAGGUCAUCCACCGUGACCUCAAGCCUUCCAACCUAUUGGUGAAUGAGAACUGUGAGCUGAAGAUUGGUGACUUUGGUAUGGCUCGUGGCCUGUGCACCUCGCCCGCUGAACAUCAGUACUUCAUGACUGAGUAUGUGGCCACGCGCUGGUACCGUGCACCCGAGCUCAUGCUCUCUUUGCAUGAGUAUACACAGGCUAUUGACCUCUGGUCUGUGGGCUGCAUCUUUGGUGAGAUGCUGGCCCGGCGCCAGCUCUUCCCAGGCAAAAACUACGUACACCAGCUACAGCUCAUCAUGAUGGUGCUGGGUACCCCAUCACCAGCUGUGAUUCAGGCUGUGGGGGCUGAGAGGGUGCGGGCCUAUAUCCAGAGCUUGCCACCACGCCAGCCUGUGCCCUGGGAGACAGUGUACCCAGGUGCCGACCGCCAGGCCCUAUCACUGCUGGGUCGCAUGCUGCGUUUUGAGCCCAGCGCCCGCAUCUCAGCAGCUGCUGCCCUUCGCCACCCUUUCCUGGCCAAGUACCAUGAUCCUGAUGAUGAGCCUGACUGUGCCCCGCCCUUUGACUUUGCUUUUGACCGUGAAGCCCUCACUCGGGAGCGCAUUAAGGAGGCCAUUGUGGCUGAAAUUGAGGACUUCCAUGCAAGGCGUGAGGGCAUCCGCCAACAGAUCCGCUUCCAGCCUUCUCUACAGCCUGUGGCUAGUGAGCCUGGCUGUCCAGAUGUUGAAAUGCCCAGUCCCUGGGCUCCCAGUGGGGACUGUGCCAUGGAGUCUCCACCACCAGCCCCGCCACCGUGCCCCGGCCCUGCACCUGACACCAUUGAUCUGACCCUGCAGCCACCCCCACCAGCCAGUGAGCCUACCCCACCGAAGAAAGAGGGUGCCAUCUCAGACAAUACUAAGGCUGCCCUUAAAGCUGCCCUGCUCAAGUCUUUGAGGAGCCGGCUCAGAGGUGCCUUGUGGGCAGGUCGGGUGGGCAGAGGGGAGACUUGGACUUGGACAAGGCUUCAGGCUUUUACCUUCUCCCCUGCCCAACUUCCCCGCAGAUGGCCCCAGCGCACCCCUGGAGGCUCCUGAGCCUCGGAAGCCGGUGACAGCCCAGGAGCGCCAGCGGGAGCGGGAGGAGAAGCGGCGGAGGCGGCAAGAACGAGCCAAGGAGCGGGAGAAACGGCGGCAGGAGCGGGAACGAAAGGAACGGGGGGCUGGGGCCUCUGGGGGCCCCUCCACUGACCCCUUGGCUGGACUAGUGCUCAGUGACAAUGACAGAAGCCUGUUGGAACGCUGGACUCGAAUGGCCCGGCCCCCAGCCCCAGCCCCCACCUCUGUGCCGGCCCCUGCCCCAGUGCCAACGCCAACCCCAGCCCAACCUACCAGUCCUCCUCCUGGCCCUGUAGCCCAGCCCACUGGCCCGCAACCACAACCUGCGGGCUCUACCUCUGGCCCUGUACCCCAGCCUGCCUGCCCACCCCCUGGCCCUGCACCCCACCCCACUGGCACUCCUGGGCCCAUCCCUGUCCCUGCGCCACCCCAGAUUGCCACCUCCACCAGCCUCCUGGCUCCCCAGUCCCUUGUGCCACCCCCUGGGCUGCCUGGCUCCAGCACCCCAGGAGUUUUGCCUUACUUCCCACCUGGCCUGCCACCUCCAGACGCCGCGGGAGCCCCUCAGUCUUCCAUGUCAGAGUCACCUGAUGUCAAUCUUGUGACCCAGCAGCUAUCUAAGUCACAGGUGGAGGACCCACUGCCCCCCGUGUUCUCAGGCACACCAAAGGGCAGUGGGGCUGGCUACGGUGUUGGCUUUGACCUGGAGGAAUUCUUAAACCAGUCUUUCGACAUGGGCGUGGCUGAUGCGCCACAGGAUGGCCAGGCAGAUUCAGCCUCUCUCUCAGCCUCCCUGCUUGCUGACUGGCUCGAAGGCCAUGGCAUGAACCCUGCCGAUAUUGAGUCCCUGCAGCGUGAGAUCCAGAUGGACUCCCCAAUGCUGCUGGCUGACCUGCCUGACCUCCAGGACCCCUGAGGCCCACAGCCUGUGCCUUGCUGCCACGGUAGACCUAGUUCCAGGAUCCAUGGGAGCAUUCUCAAAGGCUUUAGCCCUGGACCCAGCAGGUGAGGCUCGGCUUGGAUUAUUCUGCAGGUUCAUCUCAGACCCACCUUUCAGCCUUAAGCAGCCACCUGAGCCACCACCGAGCCAUGGCAGGAUCGGGAGACCCCAACUCCCCCUGAACAAUCCUUUUCAGUAUUAUAUUUUUAUUAUUAUUAUGUUAUUACACUGUCUUUUUGCCAUCAAAAUGAGGCCUGUGAAAUACAAGGUUCCCUUCUGCACCUGA
rnacentral:sRNA from 1 species